rnacentral:rRNA from 1 species
AGUGAACGCUGGCGGUAGGCCUAACACAUGCAAGUCGAACGGCAGCACAGUAAGAGCUUGCUCUUACGGGUGGCGAGUGGCGGACGGGUGAGGAAUACAUCGGAAUCUACUUUUUCGUGGGGGAUAACGUAGGGAAACUUACGUUAAUACCGCAUACGACCUACGGGUGAAAGCAGGGGAUCUUCGGACCUUGCGCGAUUGAAUGAGCCGAUGUCGGAUUAGCUAGUUGGCGGGGUAAAGGCCCACCAAGGCGACGAUCCGUCGCUGGUCUGAGAGGAUGAUCAGCCACACUGGAACUGAGACACGGUCCAGACUCCUACGGGAGGCAGCAGUGGGGAAUAUUGGACAAUGGGCGCAAGCCUGAUCCAGCCAUACCGCGUGGGUGAAGAAGGCCUUCGGGUUGUAAAGCCCUUUUGUUGGGAAAGAAAAGCAGCAGGUUAAUACCCCGCUGUUCUGACGGUACCCAAAGAAUAAGCACCGGCUAACUUCGUG